rnacentral:lncRNA from 1 species
AGACUUGGAAAAUCUAACCAUAACUAGGUACGGAGGGUUGGAUUUGCCAAAUUGGAUGAUGACAUUAACCAGAUUACAGGUGCUUACACUCGGUCUUUGUACAAACGUGGAGGUCUUGCCUCCGUUGGGAAGAUUGCCCAACCUUGAAAGCCUGGUAUUGAGGUCGAUGAAGGUGAGAAGGCUGGAUGCUGGAUUUUUAGGUAUAGAAAAAGCUGCGAAUGCCAGUAUUAAUGAAGGAGAAAUUGCAAGGGUCACUGCUUUCCCCAAAUUAAAACAACUUUUGAUUAUGGGUCUCAAAGAAGUAGAAGAUUGGGAUGGAAUUGAAAGGAGAGUGGGAGAAGAAGAUGCCAACACAACUUCAAUAAUAUCCAUUAUGCCACAACUUCGAGAUUUGAUGAUUCUUGAUUGCCCGUUGUUGAGAGCACUACCAGACUAUGUUUUGGCAGCGCCUAUACAGGAACUACGCAUAAGAAGGUGCCCCAUUCUAACGAAUCGUUACGGGAAGGAGGAGAUGGGUGAAGAUUGGCAAAAGAUUUCUCACAUCCCUAAGAUUCAUAUUUAGAACCUGCUUUGAGUGUAUUAAUUAUUUGCUUUGGUGUUUGCUAAGGUUGAGUGUAAAAUAAUAUGAAAGCCUUGCCAUUUACUCUAUGUGACCUCUUUACUUAGAUGGAGGAUUUAUUGCAAGUCAAAUAUUUUUAUUUUUUAUAAAAAUUUAGUUCUUUAAAUAUAUUUUUCUAGUUUAAAAAUAUAAUAAAUUAAAAAAUUUAUAUACAACUAAUCAAAUAAAUUAAAAAUUAUUUAUGUUAAUAAAUAAAUAAAAAUUUAUUAAUAAUACUUAAAAACAAAACUGGUUCAAAGCCUUCAUUGAGCUCAAUGUAAAGAGGACCAACCUGCCGUCAUAAAAGCCCAAAAUACUCCAUUGUAAAAGCCCUCGUAAGAAAACACCUUCUUCUCCAACAAGAAAAGCGAAGUUAAAACCCCAAGUAAAUAUCCCUGUCUUUCUCUCCUACACGCUCGCAUUCUCAGUUUUUCAUCUCUGCGUCUUCAAGCAAUAAACCAUGGGUGAUAGCCAGUACUCCUUUUCUCUCACUACUUUCAGUCCUACCGGAAAGCUAGUACAGAUUGAGCACGCAUUGACUGCCGUUGGAUCAGGCCAAACUUCUCUCGGAAUCGAACGUUGUUGCAAUUUAAGCUCUCUCUCUUUUUUUUUUUUUUUUCUCAUUCUCUUGUCAUUUUCGAAUGUACUAUGUUGUUGAUGGGUGCUUAGAUACUAUGUUGUUGAUUUUAUAUUAUUUUUUUUGGAGUUGUAGCGGCAAACGGUGUUGUUAUUGCAACUGAGAAGAAAUUGCCAUCUAUUUUAGUCGAUGAAUCUUCUAUAAGUAAACAUUUAUUAUUUUCUUUUAUUGGUUUUGUUAUAUUCUUUGGUUGAAAUUCAAGAAACGCUUUUGUGUUUUUUGCGUUUUUGAUUGUGUUUUCUUUGUGAACUUUUCUGGUUGGCCAUGUGAUAUUUUAGUAAUAACAUAAGUAUAGAGACAUGGGUUUGUAGCAUUCUAAUUAAAGAAGCUGAUGAUUGUUGUGGAAAAGCAACGUGGAUUCUUGCCAAUGAGGUGUUGGUCUAGUAGUUAAUGGGUUUAUAUUGAGAUUCUUAGGAGUGAUUUGAGUUUAGUGACAUCGGCUGGUAGAAAUCUAUUCAAAUUCAGUGUAAAUUUGUAAUUUGUAUUAGUAAUUUGAGCUUAGUGAUUUGGGUUCUUGCCAAUGAGGCGUUACUAUACUAGUCAAUGACUCUAAGAUUGGGACUUUGAAUGUUGGAGUGUGUAGAUUUAUAUCCUCUUUAAUCCCACUUUGUAUAAAAAGGCGGUGUUGGUUAUUUUAAAUCGUGUUGAAUGAGGUGGAGAUGGUUUGAUUUUGGAGCCAGUUGAUUGGUCUCUUAUUCUAAUUUGCAAGAUGGUAUAUAACUUGAGUUGGUUGUUGAUGGUAUUUAAUUGCUUCUUGUUUCAGGUUCAGAAAAUACAGAAUCUGACACCCAAUAUUGGAGUUGUCUACAGGUUUGUUUCUGCCUGCUUCUCAGUAAUUAGGAAUUUCCAUUUUUUUAGCUUGUGUUAAUUCUUAACAGUGUUAAUUCUUAACGGUAAAAGAUUUUACCAAAUCUAUUUUAACAAAUCUAUUUCGGGCUAAUUCAGAAAAUGGAAUAGUCAUUUUAACUUUGUUUUUGAUUCUUGACUUUGUUUUUGAUUUACUAAUUCUUGUUUUGUUAACCAAAUCAUUUUACCAUUACUUCUUUUGAUAUAUUUAUUUUCUUCCGAUUUGGUUCUGCGUUGUGAUUUACUUCUUUGAUUGUAUUAAUUAUUUAUUAUUGAAGUAAGAAGAAAGGAAUUGAAUUUAGAAUGCUAAGUAAGCCAUGGUGGCAGCCGAGGCACAGACCUAGUAAUAUUAAUACAUUAGAACUAUAAUUUGUUGCUGCCCAGCUUGGAAGGUAUUAGUGUCACUUCCAAUGCAUGAAAUAAUUUAUUGCUGGAGGAGGAGCAGGGGCCCUAGCUGCUGUUUAAUACCGAGGCACAUUGUAAUUUUAAAAAAAUGUUUUUAAUUUUAUCUAAAGAUGUAUUAAAAUAUUUUCUUAGAUUUUUUUUAUUUUUUAUAUUAAUACAUUAAAACCAUGAAAAAAAAACACUAGAAAGGUAUUAAUUUAAUGUUUUUUUAAAAUCAAAUACACUUUUAAAAUACAUCAAAACACAAUUUCAAAAAUAAAAUUAAAAAGAUUUAUGAACCUUAUCAGCCCCAAGGUUGUGUUGUGCAUUUAUUAUUAUAAUGUCAGUCAUAUCAUAUAUCUCUUCAGACUAAUAUAUUUAUAGAAUUUAAAAAUUAAUUCUUUAUUUAAAUUAUUUGAAUAACUUGAUAGGAAAUGUCAUGGAUAAUUAUUAAAUUAAUUAAUUCUAAAAAUUUAAUUAAUUAAUUCUAAAAAUAACAAUAAAAAAUUUUUUAUGUCACAUAAUGGCAUUUGUCAAAACUUCUCUUUUAAAUUAGUUUAGAAUUUGAGUCAACGAAUUAUUAAACUCGGAGAGACUUGAAUGUAACUCUUAAGAUUUAUUUUUUAUUUUUUCAUCCAGAACAACCAACGUGGUUUUAGUAUUUUUUUAAAUUAUUCAUUAUAACGUUGGCAUCUUUGGAAGUAUAAUUAGGGUUGUUUUUCAAAGUAAUUUUUAUUUUAAAACAUAUUAAAAUAAUAUUUUUUAUUUUUUAAAAAUUAUUUUUGACAUCAGCACAUCAAAAUAAUCUAAAAACAUUAAAAACAUAUUAAUUUAAAAUAAAAAAAUAAAAAAAAUUUAAAUUUUUUUAAAACUACUUUCGAAACGCGAUACCAAGCAUUUUAGAGUUAAUCCAACUAUCCAAAUCAUGAUAAAAUAAAAUAAAAUAAAAGUCAAGCCAUGCAUACAAUAAUGCUUAUAUGUGAAUUUUUUUUUUAAUGAUCCCAAUACAUAUUUGAAGAAUAAAAAAAUUAGUUCAAAAUUUAAAAAAAUUAAAAUCUUUUAAAAAUACAACUAAUCCACAAAAAAAAAAAAUAAUUACACGGCACCUAUCACCAGCCACUAAGUGCCAUGGGCCAGCGCGCCCAUGGCCAGGCAAGGAGCUCCCCUGAAAAGCAACAUGUAGAAUUUAGGCGUAAUAGAGUGUCUGUAGACACUACUACUUAGGUACUAGCUAUCACGCACUUUAAUAAGUUCAAUUAUUAGUAUUUUUAGCUGAAAUAUUGCACAAAAGCUGGAAAAAGUCCAAUUAAGCUAUAGAAAAACCCAGAUUUUGAUUUUGCAAUACUAAAAUGUUGCAGAACGUUAAAAGUACGUGUUAACUGUGUAAACCAAUGGAACUGUGUAAAGGGGACUUAUGAUUAUGUUUAAAUGAAAUUUUUAAAUAAAUUGCGUACCUGCCACUAACUUUACUUGCUUUUGUCAUCUUAAUUUCUUUUCUUUCCAUUCAACCUUCGCCUAAAAAAAAAACAUGUAAUUAGGCUUUAAUUUCAGUUUAAUUGUUAAAAAAAAAAUUUAGGAAUUAAAUGAAAAUUUUUAAAAAAUUUCAUUGCUCAAAUCCACAAUAAAAUAUAAAAAAGUAAUAAUAAUUUAAUGAACAGUAAAAAAGUCACACGUUUUAGCUUUAAAUUUAAUAUUAAAGAUUUAUAUUUUUAAGAAAUUCAACAUAAUAUACUCAAUGGCUAGAAGCUUGGUGGCCAAGUUCAUAUCAUGAGUUUUCGUUUAUUGUCGAGGAUGAUUUGGAGGUUUCGCCGUUCUUUUAUAAAUAUGCGAGGGGUAUGAUUGCUAUUACAAUGUGUCGAAUUUUAGUCCUUUUUAUAUAUGAUAUGGUGCUUCACUUCAGCGUCCACGGUUUGUCCCAGGUUUUGUAUUUGUUAGACUGGAUGUUUUAAUGUUCAGUGUUAAGGUUUACAGAUUUCUUGAUUUGUUAUAUACUGGGUUUUUUUUGUCUUUCAUUUUCGUGAUCUUCUUUUUCUUCUUCUUGUUCUCUAAUGGUGUCUUUUUCAUCGAUCUUGUUGAUGCUGAGACUCAGGGUGUGCUUAGGAAUGCAGUACAAACCGUAUCUUAAAAAUUUUAAUUUUUUUAUUUAAAAUAAAUUAUUUUUUUAUUUUUUUAGAUUAUUUUGAUAUGUUAUAUCAAAAAUAAUUUUUAAAAAAUAAAAAAAAUUAUUUUAAUAUAUUUAUAAGUGAAAAGUACUUCAAACCGUUACGUCUUUAGCUUGAGUUUUGAAUGAAGGACGUUCUUGUGUGAAUACCAAGAGUUUUUGUUUUUUUUUUUUUGAUUUUAAUGUAUUAAUAUGAAAAAUAAAAAAAAAUUAAAAGACAUUAUUAUUCUAAUAUAUUUUAAAUAAAAAAACUUUAUACGUCCCUUGUAGACUCAGGUAAAAAGUUUUUUUUUUUAAAAGAAAUAAUUUAAUAAAAAUAAUAUUAUUUGAUUUUCUUUUAAAAAUAAUUAAACUUUUAAACUCUGACCCGAUGAAGUAAAGUUUUAAAAAUUAUGGUUAAAACUGGUUCAGCGAAGAGCUUUGGCCUGAAAAGGGGGAAAAGUCGACACUGCUUUCUCUCCUAAAUAGACACCGGAUGACUAUGACACCCUUGUUAUGGUAUCUGAUUCAGCGAAAAGGAGGGUAUUAUGGUAAUUGGAACAACCUGAAUCGAGAAUCUGAACCGCUGUAUUCCUACGCAAAGAUGCACACGCUACUGAUAACUCGGCCAUCUCAGUCGAUUACUCAAUGUAAUUAAUUAGAGCACUCUUUGCUGAUUAUUUCAAGAAGGGACAUCCUCUGCCCUUAUUUUUGAGUCACCAGCUAGCUACAAGUCUUCAAGCUUUGAAAUGGCUAAAAUGAGAAUAGCCUAAUAAUAAUAAUAAUAAUAAUAAAAAGCAACAACAGAGAAGAUAAAAUAAAGAAGACAUAAAAGCAGGGUAUCUACUCUAUAACUGGAAGAAAAUUAAUAGCAUUCAUAUCUAUUGUCAUGAUUAAUUAAGUAUUGAAAAAAAUUAUCAAGAAAAUUAAUAUCAUCAAGAAUAAAGAGUUCAAAAUGUUUGUUAAAAUUCAAAAAAAUGGUGAAAUGUCCUAUUUUUAGGGAUAAUGUCAAAAAUUUCAUUAAAUUUAAAAAAGUGAUGAAAUUUCAAAUCAUCAGGGAUUAACAUCAAAGUUUUAUUAAAAUUCAAGAAAUUAUGAAAUCUACUGUCUUUAGGUCUUCAGGGAUUAAUGUAAAGAAAAAUAAAAGAUUAAAAAAUUAAUGAAAUCUCCUAUUUUAGAGAUUGAAAAUGGCAAAAUUUCCGUUAAUUUUUUUUUAUUGAUAACAGUCAAGAUUAUAUAUAUAUAUAUAUAUAUUAAGGCUAGUGCUAUAAAAUGACAAGCUAUAAAAUCUUUGAUUUUUAGGGAUUAAUGUUAUUUUGAUUAAUGUUAUGAUUUUUAUAAAAUAUUGUCUAAAAAAGUAUUUUUUUGAAAAAAACCAGGGAUGCAUUAAUAAGAUAAAAAAUGGUUUUAAUUUGAUGGAUAUCUUUUUUAUUUUAAUCUCAAAGCAUUGUUUUUUUUUUAUUAUUUCUUUUCAAUAAAGAACAUAGAACAAAAAAGUUAUAUUGUUUUGUAGAAUAAUUAAAGAACAUAUGAAAAAAAAAGUUAUAUUUUAUCUCUUCGUUGCUAAAAUUAACAUCAUAUUUUACUAUCGUUGCACUACAAAAAAAAAAACAAUAUGUAAUGGCUCUUCAAAAUAUAUUUAAGGACACUUUUUAGUAAAGGCAGGUUCAUCUGCAUCGAUACGAGAGAGUUUUAUUUGCUAGGACAUGCCUUGUUGUAUGAUUUAUACAGUGUUUGAUUUUGUAUUUCAACAACAUUUAAAAAAAAAUUAAAUUUCGAAACACUACAAAAACUUAAAAAAAAAAAUGUUGAGACACUAAAAUACAAGCUUCCUUUUUUUUUUUUCCAACCUACAAGUUGUGCUCUCCAAAAACUAAUGAAAAAAAACUAAUAAAAACUAACUUAAUUUGAGACACUAAAAUAAAAAAAUGUUGAGACACUAAAAGUCUAAAAUACAAGCUUCACCUGCAACGCCAAACCCUAAGUAUAUAAACUAACUUCCAUUCACAAUCAUCAGCCGCCUCCUUCUCUUCACCCUCUCUUUCUCUCUGCUCAUCCCGUCAUCAUUGCUUCUCUCUCUCUCUCUCUCUCUCUCUCUCUCUCUCUCUCUCUCUCUCUCUCUCUUUCCAAUCAGAACUAAACAGACGAUGGCUGAGGCACUUCUAUCUCCGAUCUUGGAGCAGUUAACCACGAUCGUUGCUCAACAGGUAUUUUUCUACCAUCUGCAAUAACCUGAUUUACCUAGCAGAGAUAAGAAAUAUAUAUAAAGUUCAAGCCUUUUUUCUUCCUAUCAUAAAAAGAAUACUUUUAACUUGAAUAAAUAAAAAUAAUAUUUUAAAUCCUCAAGUAUAUAUUUGGAUUUUAUUAAAGAAUCUUCUUUUUCUUGUUUUAUUAUUUUUCAUAUUUCCAAAAAUAACCUAAAGAAAAUAUAUCAUUCCAAAUAUAGGAAAACCGAAAAAGGCAAAACAAGAAAUAUUAAGGGUAAAAUAAUCAAUAAAAAGUUCAAAGGAUUACCGAGCGAGUAUAUAUAUAUAUAUAAGGUAAAAUAUCUAUAGUUUAAUGUAAAAUAAAAACCAGAUUUUAUGUCGGUUCAAAGGAGAAAUCCUUCUCUCGGGAGAACAUUAAACUCUUUCCAUGCCUAUAUUAAUUAUAUAUAUAUAUAUAUAUAUAUAUAUAUAUAUAUACGUUCAGAAAUAUUUUAUAUAUAAAUUAUUAAUAUAGUCAAUCCAUUUCACAAUAAAAUAUAUUAAUACAAAAUAAUUAAUCUAUCAGUUGCCAAAAAUUAAGAAAUUGUGUUGAAAUCAUAGUAACGUUUCCUAUGCUUGAACUUCCUUAUCUUUUGUACACUAAUAGGUACAAGAAGAGGUGAACCUCGUAGGAGGUGUGAAGAAACAAGUCGACAAGCUGAAAAACAAUCUCCUCGCUAUCCAAUCUGUCCUUGAAGAUGCAGAUAGAAAACAAGUAAAGGAUAAGGCUUUAAGAGAUUGGGUAGACAAGCUCAAAGAUGUAUGUUAUGAUAUGGAUGACGUGCUUGAUGAAUGGAGCACUGCAAUUCUUAGAUGGAAAAUGGAGGAAGCUGAAGAAAAUACUCCCAGCCGAAAGAAGAUACGGUGUUCCUUCCUGGGAUCUCCUUUCUUUUGUCUCAAUCAAGUGGUUCAACGUCGCGAUAUUGCCCUCAAGAUAAAAGAAGUAUGUGAAAAAGUGGAUGACAUUGCCAAAGAGAGAGCUAUGUAUGGCUUUGAGUUGUACAGAGCCACUGAUGAACUCCAACGAAUAACAAGUACCUCCCUUGUUGAUGAAUCAAGCGUGAUUGGUCGAGAUGAUAAAAGGGAAGCUGUAGUAAGCAAGUUGCUAGGAGAAAGUAUUCAGGAAGCGGGGGACGUAGAGGUCAUCUCUUUAGUAGGGAUGGGCGGGAUUGGAAAGACAACUCUCGCCCAACUAGCUUUUAAUGAUGAUGAGGUUACGGCUCAUUUUGAGAAAAAGAUAUGGGUGUGUGUUUCAGAUCCAUUUGAUGAGGUUAGGAUAGGCAAAGCUAUCCUUGAGCAACUUGAAGGGAGGGCACCGGAUUUGGUUGAAUUGCAAUCCCUUUUGCAAAGGGUUUCUGAAUCCAUUAAGGGAGAGAGGUUCCUUCUUGUCCUUGAUGAUGUAUGGACAGAAAAUCAUCGACAAUGGGAACAACUGAAACCAUCUCUCACAGGCUGUGCACGAGGAAGCAGAAUUCUAGUGACCACUCGUAAACAUUCUGUGGCAACGAUGAUGGGAACCGGCCACGUGAUCAACCUUGAGAAAUUGUCUGAUGAGGUAUGCAGGUCAAUAUUCAAUCAUGUGGCAUUCCAGCAAAGAAGCAAAGAUGAGCGUGAAAGAUUGACAGAUACCGGCGAUAAAAUUGCAAACAAGUGCAAGGGCUUGCCUCUAGCUGCCAAGGUAUUAGGAGGUCUAAUGCAGUCUAAAAGAACAAGAGAAGAGUGGGAACGUGUUUUCUGUAGCGAACUAUGGGGGCUAGAUGAGGUUGAUAGAGAUCAGGUUGAAAGAGGAAUAUUUCUACCUUUGCUUUUGAGUUACUACGAUUUACCUUCUAUGGUAAGACGAUGUUUCUUGUAUUGUGCCAUGUUUCCAAAAGACUACGAGAUGCGGAAAUAUGAAUUAGUAAAGAUGUGGAUAGCUCAAGGUUACCUCAAGGAGACUUCAGGUGGAGAUAUGGAGGCUGUUGGAGAGCAGUACUUUCAAGUCUUAGCAGCGCGCUCUUUCUUCCAAGAUUUUAAGACGUAUGAUCGAGAAGAUGUUAGAUUCAAGAUGCAUGAUAUAGUGCAUGAUUUUGCCCAAUAUAUGACAAAAAAUGAAUGUCUAACAGUGGAUGUCAAUAACCUUCGAGAAGCAACAGUGGAGACUUCAAUUGAAAGGGUUCGUCAUUUAAGCAUGAUGCUGUCAAAGGAAACCUAUUUUCCCGUGUCCAUUCACAAAGCAAAAGGUCUUCGCAGCCUCUUCAUCGACGCUAGAGACCCUUGGCUUGGAGCUGCACUACCUGAUGUAUUCAAGCAGUUGACAUGCAUCAGGUCAUUGAAUUUGUCAAUGUCCUUAAUCAAAGAAAUACCAAACGAGGUAGGGAAAUUGAUACAUUUGAGACACCUCAAUUUGGCAGAUUGUUAUAAGUUGGAGUCCCUGCCAGAAAUCAUGUGUGAUUUAUGCAAACUGCAAUCCCUAGACGUUACUACAUGUCGGUCUCUCUGGGAAUUGCCCAAGGCGAUUGGAAAACUUAUCAAAUUGAGGCAUCUCCGGAUUUGUGGUUCAAUUGUGGCCUUCAUGCCAAAGGGAAUAGAGAGGAUAACAUGUCUUCGAACAUUAGAUUGGUUUGCUGUGUGUGGUGGUGGUGAGGAUGAAAGUAAAGCAGCUAAUCUAAGAGAAUUAAAGAACUUAAAUCACAUCGGAGGGAGUCUUAGAGUAUAUAAUCUACGAGGAGGUUUAGAAGGUGCGAGAGACGCUGCAGAAGCACAACUCAAGAAUAAGAAGCGUCUGCGUUGUUUGCAAUUGUAUUUCGACUUCGACCGGGAGAACGACAUUUUAAUUGAAGCUUUACAGCCUCCGUCAGACUUGGAAUAUCUAACCAUAUCUAGGUACGGAGGGUUGGAUUUUCCAAAUUGGAUGAUGACAUUAACCAGAUUACAGGAGCUUACACUCGAUUAUUAUGUAAACCUGAAGGUUUUGCCUCCGUUGGGUAGAUUGCCGAACCUUGAAAGCCUAGAAUUACGCGGGUUGAAGGUGAGAAGGUUGGAUGUUGGAUUUAUAGGUAUAAAAAGUGUUAAUGAAAGAGAAAUUGCAAGGGUCACUGCUUUCCCCAAAUUAAAAAAACUUUGGGUUUUGAAUCUCAAAGAAGUAGAAGAGUGGGAUGGAAUUGAAAGGAGAUCAGUGGGAGAAGAAGAUGCCAACACAACUUCAAUAUCCAUUAUGCCACAACUUCGACAGUUGACAAUUCGUAAUUGCCCGUUGUUGAGAGCACUACCAGACUAUGUUUUGGCAUCGCCUCUACAGGAAAUGGUCAUAAGCAUUUGCCCCAUUCUAAGGAAACGUUACGGGAAGGAGGAGAUGGGUGAAAAUUGGCAAAAGAUUUGUCACAUCCCUUACAUUUCUAUUUAAAGAAUAGUUAAGACACCGCUACGUAAGUAAAAAAUAAUGUGUUUGAUAAUUGUUUGGGAACGCUGUCCAAUGUGUUUUCAUAAAUUUUGAAAUUUUUUUUUUAAAAAAUAAUUUUUUUAUGUUUUUAGAUUGUUUUCGUGUGUUGGUAUCAAAAAUAAUUUUUACAAAAUAAAAAAAAUAUUAUUUUGAUGCAUUUCUAAGUGAAAAGCACCAAGGUUGUCAAAAACACAUUUUUGACACGACACGGAAUAUACAAUAUAAACUUGGAUCGUAAACUCAAAUCGUAAAAUCAUAAAAUCGUAAGUAAAAGUGAAAUAAAGUAAUAAACAAUACAAAUGUCCAAACACUUAAAAUACAUGAUUCAAAUAAAAAUUUAUAAAUAGUUUAAAUAACUUUAAAAUAUAAUACAACAAUUAUGUCCAUAGAAUUUUAUUAACUAAAAAUUAACAAACUUAAAACAAAUAAUAUAUUGGUGUGUCAUAUAAACUAAACAUGAUCUCAUUGCCUUGAUCUUCAUAAGGAUGUAUAGUGCUGAGAAUUGAAUAAAAUACAACAAAAAAACCAACAUAUAAAUACAGGGAAAACACAACCAUCCCUUGCAGCAGCAGCUAAUGCAGGGUUAUCUUCAAUUCGAAAGUCCCUCCUACACCAAACAAUGGUCUUACUGCUACCCAUUAGGAUCAUAACCCCUUUUGCACCAGAAGAUAAACAAAUAUAAACAAGCUCCUGGAUAACAAGCUCCUGGUUAUUAUCCAGGAUAUAUAAGAGAAGUAAGAAUUGGGAACAGGUAAAUUCCAGUUUACCACAUACUACAAGAACACCAACUCUAAAACUACACCUUUGCAUCAGAGACACCCCCACCUUCUGUAUAAUAGAGGAGCACUCCUCUAGAACCUUCAAAGACAAAUCAUUGCAGGCACCUCUCUCUGUUUAACCUAAUAUUCUUCAACUAAUUCUUUUAACUCUAUGUGCAACAAGAAGAUGAGAUAUCAUGUGACUGAAGAAUCAAUAUAUAUACCAAAAUUCAGGACAGUAUUAAGCAUUCAUUUCAUGCUCUGCCCUUCUAGUGGGAAUUGCAAUAAAAAGGAAGAUGGGUUUUGAAGCUAUAUAUGAUGUAGCAGCAUUGUAGCAACCAGAAACUGAAAGCAACCAUUUGAAAGCAACAUAUUUGGUACCGUCUAUCAGAUUAGGACACAAACAUGCAAAGAUUGCAAAAACCCAAUAUGGCAAUAAAUAUAUACACACAUACAAGACUUGUCAGCACAGUUAAUAAGGCAUGCGAAAUUACAAAAGAGAAAAGAUCUUAUGAUUCAGCAAAUGAGCAAAUGUUAAUAUGACAGGCACUCAACUCUUAUUCUAUAUCAGACACUUCGUCGCCAUGGAUGAGGGGAAAAAGAAAAGAUUAACAGAAAAUAAUGUGUUUACCUGGAAGAUUUUCAACACCAGGAAGAUUUUCAGCACAAAUUGCAAGAUUAACAGCAAGUUCAAGAUUAUUUAACUGCCAAAUCACCCAAAAAUAAUAUAAGAUUGAUAACCCAAAAAUGAUAUAAAACAUGAUAGAGAAGGAGAGAAUCAAGCAAACCUGGCCACUAAUGAAAUAAUCCAGCAACCAAACCUGGCCACUAAUGAAAGAAUCCAGCAAGCAAAGCUGAGAGAGUGGAGACUGGAAACUGGAGACCGGAGAGGCGGAGAGGCGGGCCUGUUAACGGCGAAAUAAAGAAAAAAAUGGGGUUUUUGAGAGAAAGAAAGAGAGUGGAAGGCGUUGGCUUCUGCUGGGUUUAAGAUUUGAGAAUCAGAGAAUGUGAGAUCUGCUUCUGCUAGGGUUGAAUUUGAGAAUCAGAGAAUGUGAGAUUUGGGGGAAGCGGAAAGGAAAAAGGGGAAUUUUGUGAGACUAACGGGAUGGAUAGGAGAGGAUUGAGAACAGUGAGAAGAUUCAAUGGUUUUUGUUAAUUCUAUCGAACUCGGUAAACUCGGUUCGAGUUUACCGAGUUCACCGAGUUUGACCAAGUUUACUAAUUUUCAAGUUUUCUACCCGAUUUCACACGGUAUAUCUGAGUUGACUCGUAAAAUCGUAUGAUUUUACGAGUCAACUCGCAAGUUUGACAACCAUGAAAAGCACUAUGAACCGCCACCGCUGCUAUAAUUUCAAACAGGCAAGCUUUUCAAAUUGAGGUAAUAAAAUAACUAUAAAAGACAUAUAUUAAUAUUGAUGUUUUUUAGUUGAAAUAUUGUAGAUUUAAUUUCUGCUAUUACAUCAUAAAACAAACAAUACUUUAUAUAAAAUAUUUUUUAUUGUUUCAUUAAACUAUCUGUAAUUUCAUCACGUACGAAAUUCAUCCUGCCUUGACUAUAGUUUCCAUUGAUUUUAGAGUGUGCAACAACAUCAGGUAAAAUCUCAUCAGGAACAUAACUGGAAUUGUGAUCAAAUUUUGUAAAUGCAACGUCAUCAUACGAUCUCCUUCUAAUAUAAUUAUGUAGUGCCAUUGAUGCCAUUAUAAUUUCAACUUGCGUUUUGUAUGGAUAAGCAAGCAUGUUUUGUAAAAUCCUUCACCUUUGUUUCCAUACUCCAAAAGAACGUUCUAAGACAUUACGUAGCGAUGAGUGUGCUCGAUCAAAAACUUCUUGCCGAUUUCUUGGUUGUCCACGACGCCUAAAAUCUUCUAAGUGAUAUCUCUCACCUUUAUAUGGACCUAAAUAAUCAUACUCAUUGGGAUAUCCAACAUCAACUAAAUAGUAUUUACUUGUAAUUACAAACAACAUUCAAAUUUGUCAUGUAAUUAGUAAAUAAUAAACAAAUUUUUAUACUUAUAAUUACAUAACAAGUUCUGUUGUAUAACUACCUUCUGGUGGUUUAUGAAAUUUUAUAUUUCUAUUCUCAAUAGCCUCAAGAAAAAUACGUGUAUCGUGGGCACUACCUUCCCAUCCUGCCCACAUAAACAUGAACUGCAUGUCAAAACUACAAGCAACCAUUAUGUUUUGAGUCGAUACACCUUUUCUUCUGAUAAAUGGAAUUUGAUUUUCAGUUGAUAUGCAAGCUCACACAUGUGUUUCAUCAAUUGCACCAAUACAAUUCUACAUGAAAACCAUUGAUAAUAUGAUGUCGUUACUUACUAACAUGCAUAAAACAAUUUUUCUUUGAAUAAUAACAAUAUUAACAAAUCUUUUUCUUACCUUGAAAUGAGGCAUAUAUCUUGGAUUCAUUGCAAUUUCUCGUGGAGUGCUUGUAAAAUUCAAGUCCUUUGGUUUUAUGACAUCUAUUGCAAACAAACAUACUGCUGCGAGGACUUCUUUAAUGCAUCUACUAACAGUUUCACCUGAAUGUUGAAAUCGCUCUUGAACCUCUCUAUUUGGUGCUCCUUGUGCUAUUGUAUCUAGAAAUAUAGCCACUUUUUCAAUCACACUCAUCCUUCUCGAAGGCUUUAACCCAUACUUUGUUUCUAAAUCACUGCACAGGCUAAACAAAGUUCAUGUGUCCAUUCUAAACAGGUUGACACAUCAUUUCCAAUGUCCUCGUAAAACUUCAGUUAACCAACGCAUGCAUGUAUUAUAUGAAACCAUGCACGGUUCUUUAUGCAUAUAAUUAAUAUAAUACAUGUUUAUUGCCCCAGCUGUGCACACAACUAACUUCUUCAUAUCAAAAUCUCACUUCCAAAAUGAUUCAUCAUCAUCAUCAUCACUAUCGUCGUCGUCGUCGUCAUCAUCAUUGUUGUCGUCAUCAUUUUCCCCGUCAUCACCAUCCUCUCCCGAGCCACCGUUGUCAUCAUCACCACGAUAAUUAAUGUGAUCAACAACACGAUCCAUUAUGUUUUCAUAAUCAUCAUCAAGAUCUUUAUUGAAUAUUGCAUUAAAAAGCGCAUCUUCCAUAUGUAUAAUGCUAAAUAAAUAAACAAAUGAAUAAUGUUAAACCCUAUUUUUUCAAAUAAAACAUAAUAUCUGAUGGUAUACUUUAUCGUUUAAUUUUACACCACGCAAAUAUUACAGUCUACGUCUUCACACUAGAAAAAAUAUUGGAAAAAAAUGUUUUUGGAAAGUAUUUUUUUUAUUUGUUUUUUUUACUGGGUCGGACCCGAAAAAAAUGUUGGUUUAGAUUGUGAACAGUGGAGACAGGCAAAUGCAUCAGCAGAAGAAGAAGGAGAAGGGGGAGAGGACGCUACCCUGUACGAUGGCGAAGUAUGGUUGGCGGUGGCAACGACGAAGGCUAGUGGUGAACUAAGAGACGGUUUUCCUUUGUCCCUGCUCUUCUUCCUUCUCCCUGUUUCUGCUACGCUUUUUUUCUAUUUCGGACAGUUUUCUCCCCGUUGAUGAUGGUGCUGUUGUUGUCAACAAUGACUCCAGACGGUUAUUAUGGCGACGAUGAGGAAGGUUGACGGUGGUGGCCUUGUUUUUAUCCCGUGGUUGCCUCUGUUUUUCGUCUGAUUCUGCUCUUCUUCCUUCUUUCUGUCUCUGCUACGUUAUUUUCCUGUUUCAGACGGUUUUCUCCCCGCUGAUGGUGGUGCUGUUGUUGUCGACAAUGACGCCAGAUGGUUGUUGUGGCGGCGAUGAGGAAGGUUGGCGGUGGUGGCCCUGUUUUUAUCCCUUGGUUGCCUCUGUUUUCCUCUGAUUCUGCCCUUUUUCCUUCUCUCUGUCUCUGCUGCGUUCUUUAAGCGUUUCUGACCAGUUUGUUCUUUUUUUUACUUCUUGUUUUCCCUUCAUUCUGGUUCGUCACUUCUUUCUACCCUUAUAUUUAUUAUUCUGCAAGGUUGUAACCCAUGUGAAAGAUUGUGAAAGGUUCUAUCGCAAUGUACCAUGUGAAAAGUAUUACUGCAAUGUAUUUUUGUCACCAUGUAAAAAGUUUUCAUAUCUCUGCAAUUUACACCAGUUAGAUGGUUGUUGCUUGUUGCAUGUGACUUGUUGCAUUUCAAAUCCUUGCAUUUCAGAUUCGUGCUAUUCUUGCAUCCUGUGAUUUCUUUCUUUUUAGUUUUUUUUAUUAUGUUUAACAUUUUGUAUACUCUUUCCUUUUCCUUCUUGUUAAUCCACAUCAAUUAUAUUGUUGAUUGCAUCGUCAAUUUUUUAUAAAUGGAUUUGUAAUCGGAUUUCUUGAGCAGUGGAAUUUGUAAUUGAAAAUUGUUCUGUCGAUUAAAACACAACCCUUUGUUUGCAUUGUCAACCAAUGGCAUUCAUAAGCAUAUUUUGUAAAAUCUAAAAGCAUUGUCCACAUCAUAUGGCAUUAAUAUUACAUAGUAUUUUUCCCGAUCGCAAUUCAUAAUACUCAACAAUUAUCGAAUAACUUUACAACUUUUAACUAUAUUAAUAAACAAUCCAUAACAUGAAUAUAAUAAAUAUUAAUGCUCCAUAACCUAAUAACCUAACUGAAUGCAAAUAGUGUCUCCUAAUAAUGUGAAUUGUUAAAAUUACAAAUAGGAUCCCGAACAAACAUAGAUGAAUUUAUUACUCAAUAUCAUCUUUAGAUAUUUGCAAAUUUAAAUAAUUGACAAGAAAUUUAAAAACAUGUUACAUAACAAUUUAGAUAAUAAUAUUACCAACAAAUAAAUGAAAGCAUGCAUUUGGGAUCAAUAUAUACCUCUCUGUUUAAGGUGCUUUACGUCAUGUAUGCAUUCUCUACAACCAUUUCAUCUUGUUUUCAAGAUUACCCAUAGUUAACCACAUUUUUCUAUUCCUUCUCAAACCUAAAAACUCAGCAGCAAACUCAUGAAAAUCAUCACCAAUAUAAACUCCUUCAAUUGAGUGAAGCUUGGUCAUAACCUCAAGAAUACUACAUCUUUACCUAUCUCUAUUGAUAGAUGUUGAAUCACUAUUGUUUGACAUGCUGUCAACCAUUUGAUCCCACCGUAACAGUAAUUGCAACCCAAUUCCAGAACUUUUUUUUUCCCCAACUUGAACCUCAGAACAUUCUCUUUCUUUUCUUUUUCCAUUGUUGCAUGUGUUGCUACUGCUGGACAUAUUAACCCCCUCUAACCAUGUUGCAAACAUCAUGGUGAAAUUUGGAAUUCCAUCCUCUUCUGAAUCACCGCUUCGCACUUGUUAGCAAUUUUAUCACUGAUUCUGUCAAUCUUUCGCACUCAUCUUUGCUUCUUUUAUGGAAUGCCACCUGAUUGAAUAUUGACCUGCAAACCUCAUCAGACAUUCUCUCAAGGUUGAUCAUGUGCUCGGUUGCCAUCAUGGUUAACUCAGAAUGUUUACGAGUGGUCACUAGAAUUGGUGCACCGCCUUUAAGAGAUAGUUUCAGAUGUUCCCAUUGCCCAUGACUUUCUGUCCAUACAUCAUCAAGGACAAGAAGGAACCUCUUUCCCUUAAUUCAUUCAGAAACACUUUGCAAAAGGGAUUCCAAUUCAACUAAAUUCGGUGCACCCCUUUCAAGCGCCUCAAGGAUAGCUUUUGCUAUCCUCACCUCAUCAAAUGGAUCUGAUACACACACCCAUAUCUUUUUCUCAAAAUGAGCCAUAACCUCAGCGUCAUUACAUGUUCAAAAAUCUCAGAAAUAAUAUCAUUCAUCAGGUACAGAAAAGAACAUAAUGACCGGUAAGGUAGUUAUAAUUAAUGAGAGAUGUAAGGACUCAGAAAUUUAUUACUGUGAAAAGAAGAAACAUUUACCAUCAUUCUAAUUACAGUUAGCCAUCUUUAGCAAGUAAAAAAAGCCAACCCCGUGUAAAGAUAGUGACUGCAACCUCUGAUGCAAUCUAAAUUUGGUGUAUCUUCAUCCUCAAUCUUUUCUGAAAAAUAUGAAAGUGUAUGAAAGAAAGAUUGUAUGAAUUCAGAGAGAAGAAACAGGUAAUAUCAUCAUGAGCAUCUGAAGUGGCUUCUAGAUGUGUUUUUUGUAAUAAAAGCCUGGAAUCUUCAAGUCACCUCUUCAUCCAUCCACUGCCACUUUGCUUGGCAUCUAUGAAUGAAAUUCCUUUCACGAUGGGGUAUUAACAGUGUUUUUUCAAAAUCUGUUGUUUGUAUGUGCUACCAAUGAUUUUCUAUGGUGAAAGGCAAUCAACAGAAUCUCUCAUGACAGCUUCUCUUCUCCUGCAUUGUGUGGAAUCUUUAGCUUCAUCAGAAUGAUAUCAUCUUUAAUAGGGCUGCUCCAAAUCUUCAAAGCUGUUUUUCCUUGAUCUUCCGCAGUUUCUCAUUUUCUUCAGACUCUGCUGGCGAGGAUGUUCAUAACAGCUAUGAUGGCAUUGGUUUUGUAAAAAGGAGGAGCUGAUUUCAAUUGUUUUUUUCCUUUUCCCACACUGUUUUCCUUCCCCUGUUUCAAAACCUCUAAAGCUUGUUUGCUUUUUUUUUUUUGGUCAGCUAGAACUUCUGGAUGCUAGGCUAUUAUCUUUUUAGCCAUUUUCUUAUAAUACACUCGACUAUUAUAAGAAAAAAUGCAUCUGAAGUGGCUGAAUAUAUAAGCUUCGGUUCCAUCUCCAUCAGCAUCAAAUGCACCCGAGCUAUUGGUGAGCAGCGCCAACGAGAGGGGAAAAUAAAAAAUACCAUCCAGCAUUUACUCUAACCUUCCAACUCAUAUAUUCACAGAACUUUCAAUCUUGCCUUGCAUAGAAACCAACAGUGAACCUUAGUGGAGAGGUGACUCGCAGAAACUUAAAAAGCGGAAUCCACAUGCAGACAGUAACUCGGCCAACUCAGUCGAUUACUCAAUGUAAUUAAUUAUAGCACUCUUUGCUGAUUAUUUCAAAAAGGACCUCCUCUAGCCUUAUUUGAGUCACCAGCUAGCUACAAGUCUUCAAGCUUUGAAAUGACUAAUGGCGUACGGCGUACCACUCUGCCACUGGUAAGGAAAAGAAAUCUCUUUAAAGUCACCAAGGAACUUUUUUUUUUUUUACAACAGUGGAGAAUUUUAUUAAAAAUUUGGCUAUAAAGAGAAUAGCUUAAUAACAAAAAAAAAAAAAAAAGCAACAAAGAGAAGAUAAAAAAUAAAGAAGACAUAAAAGCACGGUAUCUACAACAGGAAGAAGAAAACAGGGACCAGACAAUAGAUAAAAACAAGAAGUCAACUUCUGUUAUCCCCGAAAAAGAUCCCAUCAGAGUUGAUCCCUAAAUCCAAACCGGUGUAAGCAGAAGUUGUGCUAUCAAACUUCAACCAUAAGGAGAACCUGUGGAGGAUAAAGUAAAAACAACCCUUAAGAUCUGGAAUAGCAUCAUUGAAGAUUACAUCAUUUCAAUGUAGUCAUAGACGCCAUGCAAUACAAGAAAAGAGAAGUUGUUAUCAUGAAAGAUUCUGAAAUUUUCCUUGCAUCAUUUGUAGCACAUAUCAUCAAUAGAAUUUGGGAAAGAAUUACUAAUACCCCACCAAAAUAGGAAUUUCAUUCAUAACUUCCAGGCAAAAACACGAUGAAUGAAGAGAUGGCUUGAAGUUUCAAAUCUUCUUUUACAAAACAUACAUCUAGCUUGCUGAAGAGAAAAGAAAUCAUGCUGAAACAAGAAAUCACCGAUGAAGACUUUAUCUUGGAUAAGCAGCCAAAGAAACAAUUGAACUCUUUUUUUUUUUUUUGGGGGGGGGGGGGGUAACGAUACUAAAAACCGAAAAGGUUAUACACCACCGUAAAGCAAUUAAUCCAAGAAAUGGGAACUGGAUUUUACUGUAUAAAAACCAUUUUACUAUGCAACAAAUUUUUUUUAGGGAUAACGUCAAAAUUUUGUUAUAAAUUAAAAAAUUAAUGAAAUUUUCUAUUUUAGUGAACAUCAUUAAAAUUUUCAUUAGAUCUUAAAAAGUGAUGAAAUCUUGUAUCUUAAGGGAUUAACGUCAAAGUUUUUAUUAAAAUUCAAGAAAUUACAAAAUCUACUAUUUUUAGGAAUUAAUAUAAAAAAUUUAAUAAAAUCUCCUAUUUUAGAGAUUGGUUUUUAUAACCGUGGAGAUUAUAUAUAUACAUAGCAAGGCUAGUGUCAUAAAAUGACAAGCUAUGGACUCUUUGGUUUUUAGGGAUGAGAAUAAUUUUUACAAGUUUUUUAUUCUAAGAAACCGGUGUCUAUUCUUAAAUAAAUUAUAAAUAAAAAUAUAAUAGCAUAAAAUAAUUUAGAAAAACAUAAACAAUGAUAAUUUUUUAUUUAAAAGGUUAUAGUAAAGGUGAUGUUAACCUAAUAUCUGAAUCUUUAAAAAUCCCCAACAAUUUUAGAAUUUCUAAUUUUCUUUGAUUAUUAGGUUUCGACUCUCUUCGUUGCAUUGGUCACGGUGUGUUGCUAAAAUUAACAUCAUGUUUUACUAUCGUUGCACUACAAAAAACAGAAAACAACAUGUAAUGGCUCUUCAAAAUAUAUUUAACGACACUUUUAGUGUCGCUAAAUAUUUUCAAUCUGCAACAGAAUUAUCACAAAUGGUCACUAUAUAUAGUGUCAUAAUUAAGUUAUGCAGUGACACCGAACCCCCUAUAAAAAGAUUGAAGAUCCAAUUUAAUAAUCUGAGGAAUUGAAAAUUAAGGAUUCAAUUUAAUAAUUUAAAGAAAUUUGAUAUGAUUUAUUACUUUCAAAUUAUAUGGACUCGGGUAAAACUUGGUUAAAUAUUAUUGAUUUUUUUUUUUGGAAAAACAAUUUUGGUAAAAAGAUGUCAUUUUAAUCCCUUUAAAUAAAAACUAUUUCAUUGAUGGUAUAUAACUUGCAAGAUAGUAUAGACAUUCAUUACAAGUUAGUUGGGGAUUGUUGGUGUAAUUUAUAAAUGAAUAAAAAAAGAAAUGAUGUCUAUCCCAAAUUAGAAAAAAACACUCCCUCUUAAUGUUUGUAAUUAAGUGUGGGUUUCUAUUGUGUAGUAAAUUAAAUCAUGAUAGAAGAACUCUCCUAGUGGGCUUUCUAAUAUUAUUAUAUAGAUAUUUAUAAUAUCAAAAGAUGACACUUGGAACUUGGAACUUAAUAUAUCAGUGAGAUUAAUUCACCAUUGAAUUAAUUCUCGUAAUUAAUUAUGACAUUUGUGACUGUUGAGAUAAAACUGAAUAAUAAUUAUUCGAUUUAAUUUAAAGUGUAACUCUUUUAUGAACAAUCAUAUUGUUUAAUCAAUAGUCGUACCGUUUCAUCAGCAGUCAUGCCGUUUCAUCAGCAAUCAUAUUAUUUCAUGAACAAUCAUAUUGUUUCAAGUCUAUAAAAACAUGUUACUACACAAAAAAAUCAUAUACAACAAAAAUAUAUAUUCUUUUCUUGGUCUCAUCUUCUCAUUCUUUUAGAGGACUUAGGCUGUGUUUGUUUUCCGCUAGCUUUUGCGCUUGCGGUGAAACCAACGCAGCAAGGUGUUUGGUAAAAACCAAACUAUGUUUUAUGUUGCGAGGCCCACUAAAAAAUUGAGUUUGAAAAACAGUUUUUACAUGUUUUUUUAACUGAGUUUCGUAAAAAUUCCUAAAACCCUAUUUGUUUUGCAUUUCAAAAGCGCUUUUGAAAAAAAUUAAAAAAUUUUAUUUUUUUCUUUACUUCAAAUUAAUAUUUUUUUAUGUUUUCAGAUCAUUUUGAUGUGCUGAUAUCAAAAAUAAUUUUUUAAAUAUAAAAAAAUAUUAUUUUAAUAUAAAAGACACUUUGAAAAGCAACCGCAACCACACUCUCAAACACAACUAUCAAAUAUUUUAUACAUGUUUUUUGUUACACAUAAACUUCAACCAUAUUUUUUACCAAACACGUAUCUAAAUCUAACUAAUCACAGCAAACUGCAUAUUUUUAAAUUUUUUUUUUUCAAAUCACAAUCACAAAAUUAUCUAAAACACAAACAUUUAAAAUAAACACUUUAAAAACAAUAUUUUCACACCUUUAAGCUACCUUCCUAUUUGUUUCCAUUCUAAAUAUUUUCAAGAGUACAUGUACCCUGUUGCUGUUUAAACAGAAAAAGAAGAAGAGGGGGGACAAAUAUGCAGUUCCUUAGAAAAAUAAAAAUACGGCAUUCAUCUGUACUUGGGUUUGAAAUAAGACAUCUUGGCUAUUUGGUUGCUCAAUGAUCCACUUCUUACUAACUUCUGCAACUUACUAGCCUCUGUCAAAAAGGGUUGCUCUGCUCUACUUUUUUCCUGCAGAAAGAAGAAGAAGAAGAAGAAGAAGAAGAAGAAAGGAAGGUGAUUGAGUCCAGACAAUAUGAAUCCUUUCCUCCAGAAAAUCUUGCUCAUUUCUUGGCCUUUUCACACCCAUUGAAAGGAGCUCCAAUCACACAAACCAGCAAUCCUUCCAAACUUUUUCACAUGAUCAGCACACGCAACUGAUAUCCACACAGCCCCAGAGCCUGUAGCUGCCGCCAACAAAACCCCAGCAUCCUCUCCAUGAAUAAACCAAAACACAUCCCUGCCACCCCCUGCUUAUCCACUAAUAACUCCUUAAACUACCCAGAUACAUGACUUCCAUUUUUAGACCCAAAAAUCAAAGAUCAAUAUCAAACCCCAGUCCCUGCUAUGAAAACAGGAUAAAAUCACCUGAUCUCAAAAACCCAGAUAGAUAGAUGCUUGUUUAUAGUUCCAUUACACAAGAGCUAAUUGGUUACUACUUUUGGUUUGGGUAAAUUAGUUUGGAUGGACAGAUAUAUAUUACCGUGAUCCAGUUUGGAAGAUCAGUGGAAUAACAUAAAAUGAAGAGAAGAAAUAGAGAAGCAGAUGAGAAGCAGGAAUUUCAGUAGAAUGCUAUAAUCAGUUGUCCAUAUCAGAUACAUUUCAGUAGAAACUACAGCAUUCUUAACCUAAGGUCAGUAUCAAUCCAAAAUAAUUGCUAUAAAUCGAAGAAGAAAUUACUUUCCACAAAUAAUAAUCCUUAGCCUAGAACUCGGUAGAAUUGAAAAGCACGAGUGUUUCACCUUUGGAACUCAAAAUGGCAUGUCAUUCUCAGUAGAAACAUACAACCAGGAAAAGCCAUCCGCAGUAAGUAACCCCUGACCGAGACUAGACUGAAAAGUUCAAUAAUAUAGGGACUGAAUUGAAAUGUUAGAAACAGUACAGGGACUGUAACAAAAUUCAACCCUCAUCACCAAACCCCAAGUACAUAAACUAACCCUCUCUCUUCAUUUCACAACCAGCAGCCUCCUUCCCCUCACACUCUCCUCUCUCUCUCUCUCAGUUCAUCCUAUCAUCAUUAUCUCUUUUUUAAAAAUAAAAUUAAACCAAACAGAAAAAUGGCAGAGGCACUUUUAUCGCCAAUUUUGGAGCAGUUAACCACGGUCGUUGCUCAACAGGUAAUUACUUUUAUACAAUUUGCAAUGAUCUAAUUAACCCUUACAUGAAUAAGAAAUAUAAAAAUUUAAGUCUUUUUUUUCUUCCAUAAUCUUAUUAUAGACUUUACAAAUACCAACAAAUACAGAUUCUUUUAUUCACUUUCCUUUUAUUCCUUUUAUAUAUUCUUUGAUCCGCCAAGCUUAUGUUAUAUAUAGGUUUGACGUCGAACAAUUUAAGAUUUAUUUUUUUCCUUCUUGUAUAGUAGCAGAGUGCAGACAGAGAUAUCAUCACGAUCAUGAUAAAAAGAAAUAUUAUUAUUUUUAAUAUAUAGGUUCUUCAUAAAUAUUUUAUAUAUAAAUUUAUAAUAUAGCCAAUCCAAUUCACUGUACGUGUGAACUAUGCGGAAAAAAGAUUAAUAAAAAUUAUUUAAUCUAUUAAUUACCAAAAAUUAAAAUUAAAAACUUGUAGUGAAAUCAUAGAACUGUUUCCUCUGCUUGAACUUUCUGAUCUUUUCUACACCAAUAGGUACAGGAAGAGGUGAGCCUAGUAGGGGGUGUGAAGAAACAAGUCGACAAGCUGAAAAGCAAUCUCAUUGCUAUCCAAUCUGUCCUUGAAGACGCAGAUAGAAAACAAGUGAAGGAUAAGGCUGUAAGAGAUUGGGUAGACAAGCUCAAAGAUGUAUGUUAUGAUAUGGAUGACGUGCUAGAUGAAUGGAGCUCAGCAAUUCUUACUUGGAAAAUGGAGGAAGCUGAAGAAAAUACUCGCAGCCUACAGAAGAUGCGAUGUUCCUUCCUGGGAUCUCCUUGCUUUUGUCUCAAUCAAGUGGGUCGACGUCGAGACAUUGCCCUCAAGAUCAAAGAAGUAUGUGAAAAAGUGGAUGACAUUGCGAAAGCGAGAGCUAUGUAUGGCUUUGAGUUGUACAGGGCCACUGAUGAACUCCAACGAAUAACAAGUACCUCCCUUGUUGAUGAAUCAAUCGUGACUGGUCGAGAUGAUGAAAGGGAAGCUGUAGUAAGCAAGUUGCUGGGCGAAAGUAUUCAGGAAGCAGGGGACGUGGAGGUCAUCUCUAUAGUAGGGAUGGGCGGGAUUGGAAAGACAACUCUCGCCCAACUAGCUUUUAAUGAUGCUGAGGUUACGGCUCAUUUUGAGAAGAUAUGGGUGUGUGUUUCAGAUCCAUUUGAUGAGGUUAGGAUAGGCAAAGCUAUCCUCGAGCAGCUUGAAGGGAGGGCACCGGAUUUGGUUGAAUUGCAAUCCCUUUUGCAAAGGGUUUCUGAAUCCAUUAAGGGAAAGAGGUUCCUUCUUGUCCUAGAUGAUGUCUGGACAGAAAAUCAUGGACAAUGGGAACCACUGAAACUCUCUCUCAAAGGCGGUGCACCAGGAAGCAGAAUUCUAGUGACCAGUCGUAAACAUUCUGUGGCAACCAUGAUGGGAACCGACCACAUGAUCAACCUUGAGAGACUGUCUGAUGAGGUAUGCAGGUCAAUAUUCAAUCACGUGGCAUUCCAUAAAAGAAGCAAAGAUGAGUGCGAAAGAUUGACAGAAAUCAGCGAUAAAAUUGCAAACAAGUGCAAGGGAUUGCCUCUAGCUGCCAAGGUAUUAGGAGGUCUAAUGCAGUUUAAAAGAACAAGAGAAGAGUGGGAACAUGUUUUAUCUAGCGAACUGUGGGAGCUAGAACAUGUUGAAAGAGGACUAUUUCCACCUUUGCUUUUAAGUUACUACGAUUUACCUUCUGUGGUAAGACGAUGUUUCUUGUAUUGUGCCAUGUUUCCAAAAGACUACGAGAUGGUCAAAGAUGAAUUGGUGAAGAUGUGGAUGGCUCAAGGUUACCUUAAGGAGACUCCAAGUAGAGAUAUGGAGCUUGUUGGAGAGGAGUACUUUCAAGUCUUAGCAGCGCGCUCUUUCUUCCAAGAUUUUAAGACGGAUGAGUUUGAAGGAAUGAAAUUCAAGAUGCAUGAUAUAGUGCAUGAUUUUGCCCAAUAUAUGACAAAAAAUGAAUGUCUAACAGUGGAUGCCAGUAAACUUGGAGAAGCAACAACAGAGAUUUCAUGUGAAAGGGUUCGUCAUUUAAGCAUGAAGUUAUCAGGGGAGACCUCUUUUCCGGCGUCCAUUCGCAAAGCAAAAGGUCUUCGCAGCCUCUUGAUAGGCAGUAGAGACCCUUCGCUUGGAGCUGCACUACUUGAUGUAUUCAAGCAGUUGACAUGCAUCAGGUCAUUGAAUUUGUCAUGGUCUUCAAUCAAAGAAAUACCAAAGGAGGUAGGGAAAUUGAUACAUUUGAGACACCUCAAUUUGGCAGAUUGUGGAGAGUUGGAGUCCCUGCCAGAAACCACGUGUGAUUUAUGCAAUCUGCAAUCCCUAGACGUUACGUGGUGUCGUUCUCUUAAGGAAUUACCUAAGGCUAUUGGAAAACUUAUCAAAUUGAGGCAUCUCCAGAUUUAUGGUUCAGGUGUGGCCUUCAUACCAAAGGGAAUAGAGAGGAUAACAUGUCUUCGAACAUUAGAUGGGUUUACUGUGUGUGGUGGUGGUGAGAAUGAAAGUAAAGGAGCUAAUCUAAGAGAAUUAAAAAACUUAAAUCUCAUUGGAGGGAGUUUUAGUAUACGGAAUCUAGGAGGAGGUAUAGAAGAUGCGAGUGACGCUGCAGAAGCACAACUCAAGAAUAAGAAGCGCCUGCUUUGUUUGGAAUUGGGUUUCGACUACAACCAGGAGAACGGCAUUUUAAUUGAAGCUUUACAGCCUCCGUCAGACUUGGAAUAUCUAACCAUAUCUAGUUACGGAGGGUUGGAUUUGCCAAAUUGGAUGAUGACAUUGACCAGAUUACAGGUGCUUACACUCCGUUAUUGUGAAAACGUGGAGGUCUUGCCUCCGUUGGGAAGAUUGCCCAACCUUGAAAGCCUGGUAUUGAGCUCGUUGAAGGUGAGAAGGCUGGAUGCUAGAUUUUUAGGUAUAGAAAAGGCUGAGAAUGCCAGUAUUGAUGAAGGAGAAAUUGCAAGGGUCACUGCUUUCCCCAAAUUAAAAAAACUUUGGAUUGAGGGUCUCGAAGAAGUAGAAGAGUGGGAUGGAAUUGAAAUGAGAGUAGGAGAAGAAGAUGCCAACACAACUUCAAUAUCCAUUAUGCCACAACUUCGAGAGUUGAAAAUUCAUAAAUGCCCAUUGCUGAGAGCACUACCAGACUAUGUUUUGACAGCGUCAUUACGGGUGUUUGAACUCGAUGAUUGUACAAACAUGGAGGUCUUGCCUCCGUUGGGAAGAUUGCCCAACCUUGAAAGCCUGGCAUUGAGGUCGUUGAAGGUGAGAAGGUUGGAUGCUGGAUUUUUAGGUAUAGAAAAAGAUGAGAAUGCCAGUAUUAAUGAAGGAAAAAUUGCAAGGGUCACUGCUUUCCCCAAAUUAAAAGAGCUUGGCAUUAGUUAUCUCGAAGAAGUAGCAGAGUGGGAUGGAAUUGAACGGAGAGUGGGAGAAGAAGAUGCCAACACAACUUCAAUAUCCAUUAUGCCA